ensembl:lncRNA
UUUUUUUUCGCCAAAAUAAAAUAAUACUCAUAAAUCUUAUAACGCGUGAGGGAGGAUGGGUUACAAAUGAGCCCUUCCGUAGACGGUGACGCUGAAGUACAAAGAAACCGAACGCUGUGGCCAAGGGAGGGAGCGCUUCCCACUGCAGCAGCUUCCAGUUCUGUGCCUCAUCCUCUGCCUUUCACAAAAUUCAACCACAGAGGCGCAGCAUCACAGGGAUGGGUUGCCUUGUGUUGGGAUGUUAAAGAUCUCUGAGCUCCAACCAGAUCAGGCUGCCCACAGCCCCAUCCCACCUGGCUUUGAACAUCUCCAGGGAUGGGGCAUCCAAGGCUGCAUCUGGCCCUAGCUUUCACAGUUUAUCGUCCCAUACGCACAUCUUCUUUUGUGAGUUAUGUGUAUUUUUCCCCCACGCCAAACUGCCCUAGGCAGAUGCUUGCUGUUUGGUUUGCUUUGGAAUUAAAUAAUGAAGGUACCAUAUGAUAGAACAGUUGAAAGAAGGAAAAACAAAAACAAAACCAAAAAAUUACCAACAGCUUAUGUUAUAAAAAUGGUAAUUACCAGAAUGUCUGGUAUUAAGGGAAACAGCUUCUUCAGUUGGAAACAGGCAAGCUGUUUUUUACUGUGCUUAUAAGCACUGAUGUUUGUAGUCACUCGUGUUGUUUGUAAUUAUCAUAAAAAGUAAUGAAUAUUAAAAAUAUGUUUCAUGAUGAUGACCAGAAAUUAACCAGUACUUUACUAAGGAUUCAUAUUAAGGAUUUGCAUAUGUUUUUCAUCUCUUACUGGGAUAUGGGAACUACCACACCAGAUAGACAGUGGACUUUCUAAUUUCCUUAUAGACAUUCAUUAACUUACUAACUCCCACCACUUCCUGCAAGAUAGCUGAGCUCGGUUGUACUCCCAUUACAAAUGAGGAAGUGAAAUACCGAGAAAGGAAGUGGUUUAACAGUACCAUGCAGGAAUUCUGCACAUGGAACUGAGUCCUAGCGUCUUUACUCACCAGAUUAAGCAGUCAUCCAUAGGGACCCCAACGGUCUGGAGUGGGAUGACAGGAAUCUCAUGGAGUUCAAUAAGGAGAAGUGCAGAGUCCUGAAUCCAGACAGGAGAAGUUCCUGGAACCAGGACAUGCUGGGACCACACAGCUGGAAAGCAGCUCUGCAAGGAAGGACCUGUGGUUGUGGUGGAGACCACUCUGGACACAAGUCAGCACUGUACCCUUGCCACAAAGAAGGCUAAAGUAUUCUUGCCUGCAGUAGGUAAAGCAGCAGAUUGAGGGAGGUGAUCCUUCCCCCUCUUCUCAGUGCUGCUAAGGCUGAAUCUGGAGAACUACUGGGACCCCAGUAGAAGAGAGACCUGGGCAUACUGGAAACAGGCCAAUGGAGGGUCACCAAGUACCUCUCUAGUGAGAAGAGGCUGAGAGGGCUGAAGCUGUUCAGGCUGGAGAAGAGGAGACUAAGGGGGAUCUCAUCAGUGUCAGUAAAUACCUGAAGGGAUGAUGCCAAGAGAAUGGAGCCAGGCUCCCUUCAGGAGUGCUAAGUGCCAGAACAAGCAGCAGCGGGCACAAACUGGAACACAGUUCAGUUCAGAGUUCCUUCUGAACACCAUGCAGCACUUCUGUGCUGUGUGGUUGCCGGAGUAGUGGCAUAGGCUGCCCAGAGGCUGUGGAUUCUCCUCCCUGGAGGCCUCCAAAAGCUGCCUGGCUGCGGGCCUGGGCACCCUGCUCUGUGGCUCUAGAUGAUGAGGGGUUGGGCCAAAAGGACACAGAGGACCCUGCCAGCCUCAGCCAUCCUGUGAGUCUACGCUCUUAAGUUUUGCAACUAUAAUUCUUGUUGUGAGGUUAACCUUUUUUGUUUCCUUACUGGUAAUCUACACCAAACAUUCCAAAGUAGACAACCACAGAAAUCACGACAUUAUACUGGUUCCUUAAUCAAUUUGUAGCUGGCAAUCACAACUGGCUUUUCCAGUUGUGAUUAAUUACCCAUAAAAAUAUAUAAAUAUGUCAUUUUUAAUAUUCUGCUUUUCCACUGGCUUCCUUAAUAUAUCUUGGCAAUGCAUUUUAUAGGUUAAUUAAUUGUAAUUGUAAUUAAAUUCAACUGCAAUUAAAAAUGUUUUCUUUAACUGCUGUCAUAUGUUGUGAAACUGGGACACAGGAAUUCUGGUUUUAACAUUUUUUCUACGUUUCAUUACAUUUACAUUCUAAUUCAUUCUCUUCUCUAUCGUUAUCCUGGUUAGACUUUAUACCGAACAACACAAGCCUUAAACAUAUUUUUGACAAUCUUUUUGUGUAAAAGUUUAGGUACAGAGAAUAUAAAUCUGUUAUGUGGUUCUAACUUCUUUCUAGGCAAUAGCUUUUGUUUGCCUGACAUAUAUAGCUGCCUUUAUGGUCUGUGUGUAUAUACACUAAACCAGGAGACUGGCCAUCAAGGGUUAAACUGUAACUUACGCCCUCUUAAGAACAGAAGAGGAAGCAGUAAUAUAUAACAACAUGUCAGGUUCUGGUUUGUAUGAAGACAGAUUUCUGCAUUUAGUGUGCAUUUUAUAAGAUAAAAUUAUUUAAGAAAUAGAAUAGAUAGUAUGCUUACUGUACUACUUACACAACAAAAUAUAUUCCUAAUUUCUUAUGACUCAGAAGAGUUCAGCCAAUAAGUUUAGUUGCUCACAUAUAUGUGUGUUUGGAAAAAAUAUUGUUAUUUGCAAGCCUAUUUGCAUUAAUUUUGUCCUCUUUCUAUUCCUGGUCUUUUAAGGGAAGUGAGAAGCUUUCUGUCUCUGUCAGUUCAAGGAGGUGGGCCUUCUGCUUACUCAGGAGUUUAACAGAACAGCAUUUCCCCCAAGGAAGUAACAAAAAAGAUGCAGUUUUAUUUUAGCUGGUUUUACUUUUAUGUUCUCUUUUGCCUCAAGGUUGUGAAAUAAAAUAGUCUGUAAAUGAGGACUUCUUGAAUAUUCAAUAGAGUCUAAUAAGUAUACGUUUAGAUACCAAAUACAUUAUUUUAAAGUGUUUUGUGAAAAUAUAUCUCCUGAGCUCUGGUAAGGCUGCAUCUUGAGUACUGUGUUCAGUUUUGUGCCUCUUGCUACAGGAAAGACACUGAGGCCCUGGAAUGUGUCCAGAGAAGGGCAAUGAAGCUGUGAGGGAUCUGGAGCACAAAUCUUUUGAGGAGCAGAUGAGUGAGCUGGGAUUGUUUAUUCUGGAGAAGAGGAGGCUCAGGGAUGACCUUACUGUCUUCUACAUCUACCUGAAAGGAGAUUGUGGGAAGGUGGGAAUCAGCCUCCACCCAGGAAGGUUGAAGGUGGAGGACUUUAUGAUAACUCAUAUGGAAUUAUGUUGGGUAUUUUUGUAAAAAAACAAAACAAAACAAAACCACCACCACUCCAGCUAUGGAAUUUAAUUGAAUACAUGCUUUGUUCAAAUCCCUCCUUCUUUCUUAUGGACAGUUUGGACUAGUUAACAUUCAGAGUUUUAUUUAGUUACCAUACAUACUUGUCUAGUGCCAUUUGAGACGCCCAAGAGUAUUCUUGCUUGUUGCCAACUGCUGCAGGAAAAUGGUACAAGCUUACAUAGGUACCCUGCCGUGCCUGUACAGAGCUAACAUAUCUCUGAAUAACAGCCUUGCUAGGUUGCAUUAAGAAUCUACAUUCUGACAAGCAGACCCUUCCUAAAUAUCAUUUGCAUUGAUGGACCUAGUCACACAGGGACAACCUGCAUUUGCAGGAGGUUGUCACGUAAUUCCAUGCUGUCCAAGCGCAAAAGGACAAACUAGUUCUGACAUUAUUCAUCAUUCAUUUUGUUUUGGAAAUCUGUGAACUGUGAUAGAAAUGUAGCAUCUCUUUAGAUGCCAUGCAUUUAUUUUAGCAACGGUGAGAAACUUUCUAUAAUUUUCCUAGUGCAAAUAGAAUAUGACUCAUCAUCUUCAGAGACUAGUUCAAAGUUUAGGCUUACUUCCUGGUUUUUAUUACACUUAAGACCACGACUGAGCACUGUACCACUUGACAUAUGUUGUUCGUUCUUAUGUGGAUUUUUUUCUAUCUUCACCUUUCUUCCACCAUGGCCAACUGUUCUGUUGUGUUUGCUCCUAAAACAGCAUGGCAAAUAAACGUUAUUCUUUGUGAUGGAAGUUACUGGGAGAAGUAGCUGAGAUUUUUUGGUAAGAAGUUAAUUUAAUAAACAUAGAAGAGUUAAAUCCCAAGUGCUAAAAUUAAAUUUGUGUAGUAUGUGAGGCCUCUCAGGGCACAAAGACCAGAAAAUUAAUAGCAGCAGUAGCUGCUAACAUGGAAAAAGAAAGCCACGAGUGGAAAAAGAGCAAACUGGAAGUUCUUUGUCCUCCUUUCCAGCCCUCAGUUCUCAGAAUUUUGUUUGGCAAGGAAAGCAGGGAAUCUGUCUGACUUUCAAAUAAUUACUGACGUAUUACUCCAUUGCAGGCAAGUAGCAAAGAGCAGCUGCUUAUUGCAGCCGGAGCCAAACUCUCCCUCUGCCAUCCCCCAUUUCUUCCUGCCUUCCCUGGAGAAAGCUAUCUCGCUGUUAAGUAAACUAGGAUUGGUUUGCAAGGUACAUUAAGAUUACAUUAGAAAAAUAUUUACUUACGUAUAAAGGAGCCUUUUAAAAAAUCUUCACUGCUUAGGAAACAACGUGAUUUUGUGGGUAAAAAAUAAAAACAGAUUUGUUACUCUACAGUUGUAAAGCUGCCAUCUUUUACGAGCCUGGGAAGAGUGACCUUAUUCAUUGUAAGCUUUUGCCAAUUCUGCCUCCACGCAACUAUGCUCUUCCUGAUUCAUGGGACUUAUCUGGGCCGUGCUUAACAGGUCUGCUGCCUGACAAUAAAGGAGUUGAUGAUGAUUUUUGGUUUACUGACAAACUCUCCUUCAUUUUGCAACAUUCCUUACAAGGUUUAACCAAAAAUUAAGAUUUCUUGAGAGAGAAAAUGCCUGUAACAAAUUAAAAAAUAACAAAAUAAAACAACAGAAUAACCAAGAACCACAACAACAACCUGUAAGAAAUCAAUAUCAAAUCAUUGCCGUUUAUACUGAGCCUAUACCGUUGCAAUAAAAAGGUCCUUCAAUGUUCUUGUCUUAAAUAAGUGAAUAAGUAAAUAAUAAUUAUCUGCAAUGCUACCUGAAUACUGAAAGCUCAUGAUUUCUCCAUUUAUGUCCACACUGAAGAUGAAUAUAAAACUGAAUUCCUGAGUACUUUUAUUCAUUAAUGAACUUUCAUCAGAAAAAAAAAAAAGUAUGUGUGCGUGGAGGAGUGUUGCUCAAGUUGCUCUUUAAGCAAUUCACAUGAUGACUCCCCGAAUUCCUCCUGAUAGUUCAUUAGAGACGAUGAGUCCCUGUAUUCCUCCUGAUGCUUCAUUAGAGAUGCUGUCUUCCUCCCUUGUUAGGCACUAGUGAGUAGUUGCCGUGCUCCACCCUGCUGUGCAGUGUUGGAGGAAGCAACCUGUACGUGUUACUUGUGCUCUGUCCUCUGUUGAGAUUUAAGGAAUGCUAAUGGCUGUGUGAAAAUUUCAUGUCUUGCACCCAGAAGGAUACCAUGGGGGACUGCGUGUUGUAGCUCCUGGAAUUCAUGGCUGCUGAUGUGGAGUCUGUGCAACUGAUCAUGAUAAAUCUUUCACACCAAACAAAUCUUUCUACAUGAAGAAUAUCUUUAAAACAAUUACUCUAUGUACAAUUUUGUUUUGCAUUUGGAUGGAAGCUUGAAUAUAUUUAGGUAAUAUUUAUUUAAAUGUUAAAUGAAAUAACAAGUAAAUCCAUGACAUGAGUGCAUUUACACAGAUGUGGAAUUAAUAAAUCAUCUGAUUUUCCAAUUCCCUAAUUUGGAAAUCUUUCCACGGGGAAAGAAAAACAUUUAUUGAAGUCCAAAAUGCCAUAUCCUCUUACAAAGAGAACAAACAAAAGUCUUGAGAAAGAUGAAGAGUAUGACACGUCUAUUUCUAAGCCUGGCAAGUAUUCUUGAAACCCUCAACCUGCUCAGUGAGAUUAGAUGCUAUGUUUGAGGGUUUAGUUCUACUCGUUUAAGAAAGAACGUGCUUCUCUCCUACCUGUGGUUUAAUCAAGCGAUCGCAGCUCCAUCUUUCCAUUAAAGAAGAUGGUGCCUGGUGUUUAAAUUCUUCAUGAAAUAGAGUAAAAAGACAGAAGCAGCUUACAUUAUGAGGUUUCUCUAGCUAGCAUAAUAUGAAAGGAGCCAUCUUGUGGUUGUCUAUUCUGCAAAUAAAAUGUUGCU